rnacentral:rRNA from 1 species
ACUCCUACGGGAGGCAUCAGUGGGGAAUAUUGCACAAUGGGCGCAAGCCUGAUGCAGCCAUGCCGCGUGUAUGAAGAAGGCCUUCGGGUUGUAAAGUACUUUCAGCAGUGAGGAAGGUGGGUAUGUUAAUAGCAUACUCAUUUGACGUUAGCUGCAGAAGAAGCACCGGCUAACUACGUGCCAGCAGCCGCGGUAAUACGUAGGGUGCAAGCGUUGUCCGGAAUUAUUGGGCGUAAAGAGCUCGUAGGCGGUUUGUCGCGUCUGCUGUGAAAACCUGGGGCUUAACCCUGGGCCUGCAGUGGGUACGGGCAGACUAGAGUGCAGUAGGGGAGACUGGAAUUCCUGGUGUAGCGGUGGAAUGCGCAGAUAUCAGGAGGAACACCGGUGGCGAAGGCGGGUCUCUGGGCUGUAACUGACGCUGAGGAGCGAAAGCAUGGGGAGCGAACAGGAUUAGAUACCCUGGUAGCUACGAGU